AAUGGGAAUUCCCAUGGUAACCCAAAAAACAACCAUCGAGAGCAUUUGGGCAGGCCAUUACAGGGAUAAUCUUGCUAGAGCCGGCGACAUAAAGAUCUCCAAGAAAAGAUUAGCCGUUGAGAGAAUGAUAACGGGAAAAAAAUUCAAAUAAUGUUGAUAGAGACCCCCCAAAAAAGCAUCUGAAAUUAGGAUAAAAUAAACAAUUCAGUUUCAUUCGGUUACAGACAUUCAUUCUUUCUCUGAUUCUCCCUCUCUGUCGAUGUUCUGUUCUGUGAUUGUCUCUCUGUCAAUGUUCAUGUUCUAUUUUGUGAUUGUCUCUUUCCAAUGUUCUUUUUCUUUCUCUCUGUUUUGUUCAAUUUUCAUGUGCUUGGUUCGUUUUGUUUUUUCAUUUUUCUUUUGUACAGCGUGCACGCUGGUCCGUUCGUCUUUUUUUUGGUGUUACAUUUUUGUUGCAGAGCAGAGGAAAGGCCGAGGAGAGGAAGACGCAUAGCAACUGAGGGCAAAAUCUUCUUCCAGGCAUGAGAUGCAGGGCCUGCCAAGAGUUCAUAUAACCGUUGAAGAGAUGGGAAGUUUCUUCAUCGGAUGGGAAGUUUCCUUUUGGCUCAAGAGUAAAGGACUGAUGAAGUGAGUUCCAAUGCAGGCAUAAGAUGCAGGGCCUGCCAAGAGUUCAUAUAACCGUUGAAGAGAUGGGAAGUUUCUUCAUCGGAUGGGAAGUUUCCUUUUGGCUCAAGAGUAAAGGACUGAUGAAGUGAGUUCCAAUGCAGGGCCUGCCAAGAGUUCAUAUAACCGUUGAAGAGAUGGGAAGUUUCUCCUAGAUCAAAAGUAGCUGCUUUAGAAGGAAAAUAUAUUUUCAAAACAGCUAACCCAGUGUUUGAAUUCUCUGUGUUCUCAGGAAAUGAGUUGAUCUUCACCUGCAUAGCUAAUCCAUUUGGAUUUUCUAUGAAGCACAGAGGUUCUGUUCAACUCCUCGUAUGGCAGCUUGGUUUUCAUUAUCUGACUUGGCAUACAAGCUUAUUGGGGUUUGCUGGAUUUCUACUUCGCACAUGGGACAUACAGGUGCAAUGCCCUAUUGGGUUUCUG